AAUUCUUUAACUUCCCCCAUUAUAAGAUUUUGUUGUUGUGAGAUUUUUGCUAUCUCAUCAGACAUAAAAUCCAAGGAUUUCUUUAUCUCCUCAAACUCUUCCUCUGUUAUCGAUCAGCUUUGCUUCGUAUUUCUUUUCGACAUUUCCGUUUAAUCUGAACAAGUUGAUGGUCAGGCAUUGUGUCCAGCUCAGGAGGUGCAGCAGCUGCC